UACGGAGGGUGCAAGCGUUGUCCGGAAUCACUGGGCGUAAAGGGCGCGUAGGCGGCUCAUGAAGGCUGUGGUGAAAGUCCGGGGCUCAACCUCGGAUCGGCCGUGGCGACUCGUGGGCUGGAGCACUGUAGAGGCGGGUGGAAUUCCGGGUGUAGCGGUGGAAUGCGUAGAGAUCCGGAAGAACACCAGUGGCGAAGGCGGCCCGCUGGGCAGUGGCUGACGCUGAGGCGCAACAGCGUGGGGAGCAAACAGG
rnacentral:rRNA from 1 species